CCUACGGGAGGCUGCAGUGAGGAAUAUUGGUCAAUGGACGAGAGUCUGAACCAGCCAAGUAGCGUGAAGGAUGACUGCCCUAUGGGUUGUAAACUUCUUUUAUAUGGGAAUAAAAUGUUCCACGUGUGGGAUUUUGUAUGUACCAUAUGAAUAAGGAUCGGCUAACUCCGUGCCAGCAGCCGCGGUAAUACGGAGGAUCCGAGCGUUAUCCGGAUUUAUUGGGCUUAAAGGGAGCGUAGGUGGAUUGUUAAGUCAGUUGUGAAAGUUUGCGGCUCAACCGUAAAAUUGCAGUUGAAACUGGCAGUCUAGAGUACAGUAGAGGUGGGCGGAAUUCGUGGUGUAGCGGUGAAAUGCUUAGAGAUCACGAAGAACUCCGAUUGCGAAGGCAGCUCACUGGACUGCAACUGACACUGAGGCUCGAAAGUGUGGGUAUCAAACAGGAUUAGAUACCCGAGUAGUC
rnacentral:rRNA from 1 species